GAGAGGAGUCCAUCGCUGGGAUCCCUAGGUGUUCCCAUUCAGUGAUCAGGACUGAACACAGACAAUUCACCAUGGAGUUCUUACUUGGCUGGGUUUUCCUUGUUGCUCUUUUAAAAGGUGUCCAGUGUGAGGUGCAGCUGGUGGAGACUGGGGGAGACCUGGUGAAGCCUGGGGGGUCCCUGAGACUCUCCUGUGCAGCCUCUGGAUUCACCUUCAGUAGCUACUACAUGAGCUGGGUCCGCCCGGCUCCAGGCAAGGGGCUGCAGUGGGUCGCAUGGAUUAGCGAUGAUGGAAGUAGCACAAGCUACGCAGACUCUGUGAAGGGCCGAUUCGCCAUCUCCAGAGACAAUGGCAAGAACACACUGUAUCUGCAGAUGAACAGCCUGAGAGCCGAGGACAUGGCCGUGUAUUACCGUGCAAAGGACACAGUGAGGGGAAGUCAGUGUGAGCCCAGACACAAACCUCAAUGUACAAGGGGAUCAGAACCACCAGGGGGUGCACAGCAAUUCUGUCUUUAA